rnacentral:tRNA from 1 species
GCCUGGGUGGCUCAGUCGGUUGAGCAUCCGACUUCGGCUCAGGUCAUGAUCUUACAGUUUGUGGGUUCGAGCCCCGUGUCGGGCU